GACGAACGCUGGCGGCGUGCUUAACACAUGCAAGUCGAACGGAAAGGCCCUGCUUUUGUGGGGUGCUCGAGUGGCGAACGGGUGAGUAACACGUGAGUAACCUGCCCUUGACUUUGGGAUAACUUCAGGAAACUGGGGCUAAUACCGGAUAGGAGCUCCUGCUGCAUGGUGGGGGUUGGAAAGUUUCGGCGGUUGGGGAUGGACUCGCGGCUUAUCAGCUUGUUGGUGGGGUAGUGGCUUACCAAGGCUUUGACGGGUAGCCGGCCUGAGAGGGUGACCGGCAAGAGUGGGAGUGAGCGACAGCAGGGACGGAGACGGGAGGCAGCAGCGGGGGAUGUAGCACAGUGGGCGGCGGCGUGAUGCAGGAGCGCGGCGUGCGGGAGGCCGGAAUUAGGUUUGUAAACAGAGUACGCCUGUGACGAAGAGUGAGUGACGGUAAGGGAAAAAGAAGCACAGGCUAACUACGUA
rnacentral:rRNA from 1 species